rnacentral:misc_RNA from 1 species
GAUGAAGAACUCAGCGAAAUGCGAUAAGUAAUGUGAAUUGCAGAAUUCCGUGAAUCAUCGAAUCUUUGAACGCACAUUGCGCCCUCUGGUAUUCCGGGGGGCAUGCCUGUCCGAGCGUCAUUUGCAACCCUCAAGCCCGGCUUGUGUGAUGGGUGCCGUCCCCUACGGGACGCGCCCCGAGGCAAUGGCGGCGUCGCGGUUAUCCGAUCAGCCAAAGUGUAUGGGGCUUUGUCACUCACUUUACGGCCCGGACCGGCGCCAGUCCGAAUCAAUCUUUUUUCUAAAGUUGACCUCGUAUCAGGUAGGGAUACCCGCUGAACUUAAGCAUAUCAAUAAGCGGAGGA